CUGUUGAAUGAUAAAACUUUUUCAAUACCAUAUCAUUCAAUUCAAUUAUCAUAUAAAUAAUAAAUAAUAAAUAACAAAAGACCAUACAUCUUAAGGAAAGACACACAAAUUGGAAGGUUUAUGUUUGUUUCACAAGUUCUAAAACCUUCAUAUUAGUCAUUGAUAUAGAUAUUGUAUCCUCUAAUAUCUUCGAGCUAACAUCACCCUAUCAUAAAUAUCUUUAUUUUUGGCCUCUGUGGUUAUAUUUGAAUCUUUUUCCCUAUGAUUUUUGAGAGUUUGGAAUUCUCUAAUUUCUACAAAUCUCUGAU
rnacentral:lncRNA from 1 species